AAUAUAAAGAAUUGAAUGGAAAAAUAAAAAAAGUCUGAAAAUAACAUUUCAUUUGAAAUGCCAAAAAGCAACACCAACAAAGAAGUAGAUAAACAACAUAAAGAAAGACAUGCACAGAAUAAAAAGUUGGAGAGAUAAGGAGCUGUUCCUGAUUGGAAGAAAUGGGACACGUGAUCGGGCUCAUUUACAUGUGGGCAUGCAGGUGAGCGUGGGAGAAAAUAGUUUGAGCUAUGUCGCGAACACACCGGCACCUGACGGGAUUAAGAGUCCUGUCGCUUUGCCAGAGCAUCUUCCUCUGAACCAAGAGUCACCACAGGCCGUCGGUCCGCUCACCUGGACGGACGCUCAGUAACCGGAAGAUUCCUCUUUUGUUUCUAUCUUAACAGUGUUGGUCCAGAUGUAAGGGCACAGGCCUCACAGACCUGAUCAGUACUUCCUCAUCACCAGCUGUCUGUCACCAUGGUGAUGCAGGUGUUGAUGGCCCCUGCUGUGUCCAUCCUGGUUUCCACCGUGCUGUCGCUGCUCAGCCUGGCUCUGCUGCUGCUGCUCUGUGUCAUCAGGAAGAAAAGGAGGAUGGAGGGAACAUACAGGCCCAGUGCGGAGGAGAGGAAACAGACGGGAUCGGGGGGGGGCGAAAAACAAAGCCUGCCUCUCCCGUUGCCUAAAGAGGAACGCCUCAUAUGACAGACGUUUGGAGGUGGACC